rnacentral:lncRNA from 1 species
AGAAACUUGGCUCACAUGAGCCUCUUGCCUCCCAAAACCUCAAAUCAUGCAUAAAGCUCAACUAGGACAUGCAUACAAGUUCCUAGGGGUCUCAAACAAUCAAAUACCCCAACUACAACACUUCAAAUACACCCAAUCAACACACAUUGUUCAAAACAUCAAUAUUAACCCAUAACUCAACAUAUGUCCUAACAUGCAUUUCUA